AUACUUACCCGGCCGGGGAGGUACCGUGAUCACAAGGCCGUUUCCCCGGGCGAGGCUCACCCGCGCACUGUGGGUGCGCUGACCCCUGCGAUCCCCCGAAUACGGGAACCUCGGCUGUGUAAUUGGUGGUAGCGGGGGACUGCGUUUGCAUUCUCCCCUG